rnacentral:rRNA from 1 species
GGAGGCAGCAGUCGGGAAUAUUGCGCAAUGGAGGAAACUCUGACGCAGUGACGCCGCGUGCAGGAAGAAGGUUUUCGGAUUGUAAACUGCUUUAGACAGGGAAGAAACAAGACAGUACCUGUAGAAUAAGCUCCGGCUAACUACGUGCCAGCAGCCGCGGUAAUACGUAGGGAGCAAGCGUUAUCCGGAUUUAUUGGGUGUAAAGGGUGCGUAGACGGGAAGGCAAGUUGGUUGUGAAAUCCCUCGGCUUAACUGAGGAACUGCAACCAAAACUAUCUUUCUUGGGUGCUGGAGAGGAAAGUGGAAUUCCUAGUGUAGCGGUGAAAUGCGUAGAUAUUAGGAGGAACACCAGUGGCGAAGGCGACUUUCUGGACAGUAACCGACGUUGAGGCACGAAAGUGUGGGGAGCAAACAGGAUUAGAUACCCUGGUAGUCCACACCGUAAACGACGGAUACUAGGUGUAGGGUGUGAUAAACAUUCUGUGCCGUCGCAAACGCAGUAAGUAUCCCACCUGGGGAGUACGGCCGCAAGGUUGAAACUCAAAGGAAUUGACGG